rnacentral:lncRNA from 1 species
AGGACAUCUUCGAGGGGGGUCUCCGCUCGAGUCAAAGAGGAUAGCGAACGGAGGCACCCUCCAGCUGCGCGCCCAGGGUCUUGUUAUGCCUCACGGGCCUGGGCACAACACGGGAGGAAGCGGGGGACGACCGAAAUGUCUGGAGACAUUUCUUAGCCGCCCCCUCCCUUGUUGCUGAUGCCCCGAGUGCCCCAUUUUGUGGUGCGCAAAUAGCCGCCAUCAUUUCCCCCAAAGCCAAAUGGCGGCUCCAGGGUAGGACAGGGUGGGCGAUGUUAAGGCUGCGACCCCUGGAGGAGGUCCCGGAGAGCAUGAGGGAGGGGAGUUGCUCUUAGCUCCGGGCCACACCCCUCCCCCCCUUGUAUGGGGAGGGCAAUGAGAGUGGGUCCGCUCCCUGCUCUCCGGGUGCCAGACGAAGUCCUCUGCAGAAGCUCGUGCAAGUCUGGCGGCCUUGAGCUCCACUGGGUCCUGUAUUGGGGGUGCGGAGGAGGUGCCGGACAGUCUUUCCCGAAGCCAAAGAAGCCUGCGCUUGGGGCGGCUGGGACCACGGAGAGACAGUCGGGAGGAGAGCGGGUCCUUUUGGGCCCCUAUGAGCAGGCGUGGUGGGCCCUCCCCUCUUCUCGGCGCUCACCCCUUUCACAGCUCUUGCUCUCCGACAAGCUAGUGAAUACGCCCCAGAAGAGGAGGAAAUCACGGCUGGGAAAGACUCCAGCAUCCAGCUGCCUGCUGCCAUCGCCACUGGGGGCUCUAAAACAUGUCCCUUCUGUGUCGUGGCUAAAACAGAACUCUCGAGUUUCUCUUGCAAACCUUUGCUCCCGAAACUGUCACAAACAGUGCUAGCCCAAAAGCACAGACACCCCUCUGAUUUCUUUUUCCCUCUACCCUCUUAUCCAACACAUCGGUUCCUAUCAGGUCUACACCCUCCAACGAGUCCCACAUCCAUCCUCUUCUCCCCAAGCUGCUGUGCUCUCCGCUUUUCCACUGUGGCCUCUCCAAGCCUCCACCCAGCAGCAGAGGGAGCAUCUAACACAGAAGUCUGAUACCCUGUGUCCUGCCUCUGCUAAAAGGCCUCCAGUUGCUUCUCAUCAGACUUAGGAUUAAUCUGUACUCAGCCACACGGGCCUUUUUGUUUCUUACACAUACACGGGGCAGGGGGAGGGGGCACUCCCACCUCAGUGCCUUUGCACUUGCUGUGUGGCUGGCUCCUUUCAUUCAGAGCAGCCCCAGGGGCCAGCUGUGCUAAAAUGCCUCCCUAGCACAUCCCCCUGCUUUAUUUCUUCAUAGUAUUUAUCAACACCUGACCUCGUUUUGCCUGUUCACUCGAGGGCCGGGAGCCCUCUAAGAGCAGAACUGGGUCUGCCUUGCUCCCUGCGGGGCCCCACCCCUGGGCACACCCUGCGGCCUGAAGAUGACACAGGUGUGCCUACAGCAGCAGCAACAGGAAGGUGGACUGGGAGAUGCCCACAAACUCCAGGUGUGACCCACGCGCCCCCUUACACCACCCAGCCUCAGUUCCCCAGUUUGUGAAAAGGGGCUGGAUGUGUUGUUUGGAUGACCGUUCCAGCUUUGACAGCUUGGUUCUGGACUCCUGAACAGAGGAGAUGACCUAGAGGACCUACAAGAAUACAGCCUGGGUGGACGAGAGGAUACAAAACAGAGACGUAGAGGCCCCAGGUGUCAGAGGAAGGGGUUGGCUUGGCCUGAUGGGAAGUCUCGGGGGGGGGGGGGGGACUGGGAUUGCAAAGCCUGGGGCUCUGGGUGGGCCCCUGUGUCUCUGUGGGCCUCACCAGGGCAGGAGCCCUGGGUGUGGGGGGCUGAAAGGCUGCAGGAGUCACCAGCCCCGGGGAUGGUGUUCAGAGGCCUUGCCACCUGGGGGCCCCUGACCAGGGAAGGCCCAGUUGGCUUUGGCUAGGCCGCUGAGAGUAACAGUUAAGAAGGACCAGAGUGUCUCCCCAGAAUGUUUUAAACGGAGAGUUUGCCUCAAGCCUAUGCCUGGGCUGGGAGGGAGGAUGGCAAGACCCAAUUUGAGGCAUCAAGUGCUUUUCUGCAUUUAAGGGGAGACAAAGGAAAUUCACCAGAGGAGACUAUGGGGAAGGUUGCCUUUAAGAUGCAAAUGUGUACUGUGAAUCCCUGAGUGGGGACGUUGUUAGGGGCUCUGGCCCAUCACCCCCCUGCAGCCGGGUGGUGAGGUCUGGGGAGCCUGGGGGUCUGGUGAAACCGGGGACUGCCCAGAGAUCAAAGGAGCUGACACUGAUGGGUUGAUGCUGAGGCCCCCUGAGGCAGAGAGGAUGCAAAACGUGGGGGAGCAUCAUGGCCCCUCCAGUCUGGGUGGGCACAGGGGUUAAGGGAGACCACCUUUACUUCUCGGGCCGCCAUCCACCGGGGCAAGGCCGGGUUCCCAACUCCAGACGGCCCAUGCUUAGGGUGCCAGAGAAGGGGCCUGAGGAGCCCCAAGAGUUCUCAGAUUUUAAAUAUGCAGUCUUUUAAAAGAGUGGACUUAAGUGGCACUCAUCAUGGACAGCCCAGAGCUUUGUGGGACUUGGCACCGCAUCAGUGCUGUUUCUACUGGGAAUCACAUUGAGAGGGACGGUGCAGGCCCACGCACGCGCCUCUGCGUUCUGCCUCAGGGAGGGAUUUGCUGGGCGCAGAGUAAGAAUCCCCAACGUAGAGAUAGGGCCUGAAAAGCCGGGAGGGUUGAGGACAACUGGAGAUUUGACCCUGUCACCUUGAGCAGGAACAGUUACUCAUCUCCAGAAAGGACUUAACCACUUCCCUCUGUCAGUUCUCCAAGAGCCCUGAAGGUUGCUGGGCUGAGUGGCGCAAGAGGAAAGCGAGGUGGCCCCCCACGCCCCAGGCGUGGGACCAGGCAGCCUGGUCUCGCUGUGAGUCAAACUGCCCUUCCCCAGGCCCUCUUUUUUCUUUUAUUUAAAAGCUGGUUAGUUUUUAAUAAAGUUAUUCAUGGUGUAAAACCCAAGCUGAGUACAGGCUGUGAAGUGCACACCGAGGCCCCUGGCCCUCGGUCCCGCUGCGUGGCGGGCACAGCUCAC